CCCAAUCAAUGCAUAUUUUGUGCACUUGGCUGCACUGCACGUAAUAUCAGAUUUUCAAAACGAAACUAGGAAUGGCGGACAAAGAAAAGGACGAGGAAAAUAAAACAAUAAGGAGGGCUUUCACCGUGAUUACGUCCCCUGUCUGGGUUCCGGUAGCCGCUGUGGGGUCGCUAGUGGCUGCUCCAUUCCAGGCUGUUAAAGAUUCUGUAGACGUGGCUGACAAAACAGACUCUGCUGGCGCUGGCGUGUCCAGUUUCCCCGGGAAUGCUGUCGUCCGGGCGAUCACAAACCCCUUUAAGGGGGUGGCAAAAGUAGGGGAGGCAAUGUGGGGCAAAGACAAGGAAUAACGAAUAGAAGAUAAAAUACAGUUCUAAUGGUAACAUUUUAGAAAACGCAUUAGAAUUCUGCUUAUUGUGACUUAGUUAAAAUAAACUUCAUGUUUAUAUAAUUAAGGAUUUUUUUCUGCAAUUGUAUAUAUGACAAUGAUUCUGUCUUAUUUUCAAUAAAUAAUAAAGCUUGUC